AACGAUGAACGAAUCAUUGAUCUACUCGCUAGUACGCUAGUUCAUCGUUCAUAACAAUAGAGGUUUUCUAAGGUUUCUAAUGGUAAAACCGGUAAAUCUAUACAUCAUAACCCAAACGAGGUCCGUUAGAACCGAACGUGGUAAUUCACGUUGGUAGUACACCGCUUGGAAUCCAAUAUAAAAUCGUAACGAAGACGAACUUCCUACCAAACCGGUGGCUUAGCUAAGUUAACUAAAUGCUAGCCGGGCUAGAAACCCAUCGAGACAGCUCACCUUUUACAAAAAGAACGUCAGUGUAAAAGCUGGAUGGUCGUCCAAAGAAGAAAACAAGAAGAUAUACGAUGGAAUUGAGCUCAAAAAAUCGCCUUUAAACCAAUACGGUUGGAUGGUAUUUUCGUUUGAAAACGCGACGGCUCAGAUGGCGAUGGCAACCUGCUAGCGCAGAGAAAGAAUGCUGACUGCUUAUCACUACCAAUGCUGAGCCUAUGCAGGUCACGUGAAGUUCAGCCUGUAGCCGGCCGUCGAGACAAACUGUCUCGAUCCAAACACUUGGAGUGAGAUCAAAGCAAAGGUGUCCAAUUCAAGUGAGCCGUCUCAAUCAUUUGGUUUUUACAGUGAAAAGUGUACCAGACACCAUCAACUUCUAUUCCUCGGUCCUUGGCAUGGAGGUCGUCACUUUCAAGGGGAACCCGCGAGGCUCUGGCAUUUGGGCAGCAGAAAUUUGAGCCCAAAGUAAGGCAUCCAACUCCAGGUUCUGCAGAUCUGUGCCUCAUCACCAGCACCCCCCUGGCUACCGUAGCUGCACAUCUGAAGGUUGUGCACCUGUCUCCCACAGAGGGUCUUGAAUUGAAUUGCUAACGUCAAUCAUGAACUUGUAAGAUGGAUACUCUCUUCUGUGCACGUUUGUGGGGUGCAGAUCGAGGAGGGCCCAGUGGAAAAGACCGGAGCAUCACCUCUCUUCACUUUAUAGAUCCAGAUCACAACCUCAUUGAAAUGUAAAACUAUGACCAGUCAACAUCACAGGAAACUUCUUAAGUGUCCUAAGGUCAAUAUUAUCCCAAAAUAAACAUACCUUUCCCCGUUCCCUGGCAACAUAGUUGUUGUACUUAAGACUUAACAAAGCUCUUAGGGCCCUGUCAAAAAAAUGCGUCAGUCUAACCGCAGGUGCUCUCAUCUUUAUUUAUUAGUGCUUAUUCGUCGAUGGAUUGCGACUGGUUUAAAGAUCUGGAUUAGACUGAUUCUUCAAUUACUUUAUUUAUUACCAUUUAUUGUCAAACUGCGCGUGUUCUCCUGCUACAUGUUGAACUUGUAGGAAUGUUCUUCUAUUUUCUUUGUUGGAAACACCAAUACUGUACUUUAAGAUGACCUUUUCUUGAGUAGUCUGUUAACCCUUAUUAAAAUAAUUUCUUUGUAUAUUCAGCUAUGCUCACACAUACUGUUGAUCUGGGUAUAUGUUAUUUUGUCUUUGUUAUUAUCACUCAAACGUAUUUGUCUUAUUUCUAGCAGACUGUCUCCAUCCAAACACUUGGAGUGAGAUUAAAACAAACGUGUCCAAUUCAA